UGAAAUGCGAUACGUCAUGCGAAUUGCAAAAUCAGUGAGUCAUCAAAACUUUGAACGCAUCUUGCACUUCCUUCGGGGAGUAUGUCUGUUGGAGUGUCUGUUCAUCCCCACCAUCCCCCAAUCCUCCAAGAUUGGUGCAGGAUGCAGUCCACCGCUUUCCUGGUAAAGUGCGUGCAGAUGAAAAAACUAAUCUUAUAACCGAUCCUGGUCAGUGUAAUGCUGAGUAGGACGCGAGAUGAUAUCAUAACGCGUCUGAAAUAGUGCUACGUUAAGCUAACUGGGGCCGUCGGCUAUAUCUCAAUUAGGACCUCCAAUCAGUCAAGAAUACCCGCUGAAUUUAA
rnacentral:misc_RNA from 1 species